rnacentral:lncRNA from 1 species
AUUAACAUACUAGUAGAAAGAGUAACCUGCUCUGUCUGGACUUCAAACAGUUUAGCUUUAACCAUGUUAAUGGUCCCACAUUAUUGGUUGAUAGAGAAUCAAAAUCUAUUUACCAAUGAAUCACGAAAUGCUAUGGUUCUUAAAGAUGAUUUCUUAAUUUAUUCAGGAGUAAUUCGCAGGAUCAUGCACCUUUUCUUUUCUAGUUAAAUUUCCUAGUUUAAACGAAACAAAAAAGUGCAGCUGGUUCAAUCCAGCCUAUUCUUGAAAUAAACAACUCGCACACACUCCCUUUCCAAAAAAAAUCAAUACACCAAGGACUACACUUAGAUUUAUUGGAUUUGUUGCUAAAAUAUCGGUAUUAAACCCGAAACUCCCGGCGGAUGACCAGUGACCCAAGGAAACGAAAGAAUCGGUUAUAUUUUUCAUACGAUCUCCUCUUCUUUUAUAAAUCUUAUAGACAGACUAAUUAUCUAUUUAUUUUUUUAUUUUUUAUAUUUUUUUUUUUCAAUUGUAAAUUUCUAAUUAAGAACAAUACUUAUUAGAAUUGGGUAUCAGGUCUCGUGUCAAUUGCGAAAUAUCUACUUUUUUUUGUUACAACACUUCCUUAAAAAAGUUUGGAUUGGACUAACUAAGAAAGGGGAAGGAAGAAAGUGAAUCAGUAUACUAAUUCCUCAUCCCCCAAUCAAUCCUUCCCGUUGGGUUAUUGUCCCAAUAAAAAUAAAACAAAAUAAAUAAUUGUAGGAGUAAAAUCUUGAUAGAAUUCGAAAAAGCAAGCAGCAAGUACAAGACAAUAAAAAAAAAUACGUAUUUUUUUAUAGGAUUAGAUUAAACAAAUCAAAUAUAGGAUUAAACAAAAGGAUUCGCAAAUAAAAGUGCUAAUGCUACAACCAGUCCAUAAAUUGUUAAAGCUUCCAUGAAAGCCAGACUAAGCAAUAAAGUACCUCGUAUUUUUCCCUCUGCCUCGGGUUGUCUCGCGAUACCUUCUACAGCUUGGCCCGCAGCAGUACCUUGACCAACCCCAGGUCCAAUAGAAGCAAGCCCAACGGCCAACCCAGCAGCAAUAACGGAAGCGGCAGAAAUCAAUGGAUUCAUGAUAAGUUCCUCGCACCAAAAAAAAGAAAUGGUUAAUGAUACAAUCAACCAAUAAAUUAUGACUUAAUUAUUCCAUCGAUAAGAUUUUCAUCUAGUCAAAGUAACGCAACUAAGAGCUCCCAAUUGAAGUAGUAAUAUUAUUGAAUCAUCAGAACUACUUCGAUAUCUAUUUUAUAGUUCCUAUCCACAGAGUUUUUGUGAAUUCA